rnacentral:rRNA from 1 species
GCAGUCGCCGCGGGAAUACGAACCGUGCGAACGUUAUUUGGAAUUACUGGGCUUAAAGCGCGUGUAGGCGGCUCUAUAAGACAGAUGUGAAAUCCCCGGGCUCAACCUGGGAACUGCAUUUGUGACUGUAGAGCUGGAGUGCGGCAGAGGGGGAUGGAAUUCCGCGUGUAGCAGUGAAAUGCGUAGAUAUGCGGAGGAACACCGAUGGCGAAGGCAAUCCCCUGGGCCUGCACUGACGCUCAUGCACGAAAGCGUGGGGAGCAAACAGGAUUAGAUACCCCAGUAGUCCCUGUCUCUUAUAA